UACGUAGGGGCCUAGCGUUGUCCGGAUUUAUUGGGCGUAAAGGGUGCGUAGGCGGCGCGGUAAGUCGGGUGUGAAAUCUUGGAGCUUAACUCCGAAACUGCAUUCGAUACUGCCGUGCUUGAGGACUGGAGAGGAGACUGGAAUUUACGGUGUAGCGGUGAAAUGCGUAGAUAUCGUAAGGAAGACCAGUGGCGAAGGCGGGUCUCUGGACAGUUCCUGACGCUGAGGCACGAAGGCCAGGGGAGCAAACGGG
rnacentral:rRNA from 1 species